CGGCGGACUGGUGAGUAACACGUGGGUGAUCUACCCUUAGGUUGGGGAUAGCCAUUAGAAAUAGUGGGUAAUACCGAAUGUGGUUGCAGGGCUUUGGCCUUGUAAAGAAAGGAGCUACGGCUCCGCCUGAGGAUGAGCCCGCGUCCCAUUAGCUAGUUGGGGGUGUAACGGACCACCAAGGCGAUGAUGGGUAGCCGGCCUGAGAGGGUGAACGGCCACACUGGGACUGAGAUACGGCCCAGACUCCUACGGGAGGCAGCAGCUAAGAAUAUUCCGCAAUGGACGAAAGUCUGACGGAGCGACGCCGCGUGGAUGAUGAAGGCCGAAAGGUUGUAAAGUCCUUUUGUCGACGAAGAAUAAGUGGGGGAGGGAAUGCCCUCAUGAUGACGUUAGUCGGCGAAUAAGCCCCGGCUAAUUACGUGCCUGCAGCCGCGGUAACACGUAAGGGGCAAGCGUUGUUCGGAAUUAUUGGGCGUAAAGGGUACGUAGGCGGUCCUGUGAGCCCGACGUGAAAUACUGGAGCUUAACUCCAGAACUGCGCCGGGAACUGUAGGACUUGAGUCAUGGAAGGGGAGUUGGAAUUCCAGGUGUAGGGGUGAAAUCUGUAGAUAUCUGGAAGAACACCGGUGGCGAAGGCGAACUCCUGGCCAAUGACUGACGCUGAGGUACGAAAGUGCGGGGAGCAAACAGGAUUAGAUACCCUGGUAGUCCGCACAGUAAACGAUGUGCGCUAGGUGUUGGGCCGAGCGGUUCAGUGCCGAAGCUAACGUGAUAAGUGCACCGCCUGGGGAGUAUGCCCGCAAGGGUGAAACUCAAAGGAAUUGACGGGGGCCCGCACAAGCGGUGGAGCAUGUGGUUUAAUUCGAUGGUACGCGAGGAACCUUACCUGGGUUUGACAUCCUGAGGAAUACGG
rnacentral:rRNA from 1 species